rnacentral:rRNA from 1 species
UACGGGGGGGCAAGCGUUGUUCGGAAUUACUGGGCGUAAAGGGCGCGUAGGCGGCCAUCUAAGUCAGACGUGAAAUCCCUCGGCUCAACCGAGGAACUGCGUCUGAUACUGGAAGGCUUGAAUCCGGGAGAGGGAUGUGGAAUUCCAGGUGUAGCGGUGAAAUGCGUAGAUAUCUGGAGGAACACCGGUGGCGAAGGCGGCAUCCUGGACCGGUAUUGACGCUGAGG